CAGAGGGUGCAAGCGUUGCUCGGAUUUACUGGGCGUAAAGCGUACGCAGACGGCUUGGAAGGUCGGACGUGAAAGCCCCGGACUCAACCCGGGAAAUGCGUCCGAAACCACCUUGCUCGAGUAUGAGAGAGGGAAGCGGAAUUCCUGGUGUAGAGGUGAAAUUCGUAGAUAUCAGGAGGAACAUCUGCGGCGAAGGCGGCUUCCUGGCUCAUUACUGACGUUCAGGUACGAAAGCGUGGGUAGCAAACAGGAUUAGAUACCCUGGUAGUCCACGCCGUAAACGAUGUGUGCUGGAUGUCGGGGGUAUUCACCCCCUCGGUAUCGAAGCUAACGCGAUAAGCACACCGCCUGGGGAGUACGGCCGCAAGGUUG
rnacentral:rRNA from 1 species